UGGGGAAUUUUGGACAAUGGGCGCAAGCCUGAUCCAGCAAUGCCGCGCGCAGGAUGAAGGCCUUCGGGUUGUAAACUGCUUUUGUACGGAACGAAACGGCUCUGUCUAAUACAUGGGGCUAAUGACGGUACCGUAAGAAUAAGCACCGGCUAACUACGUGCCAGCAGCCGCGGUAAUACGUAGGGUGCGAGCGUUAAUCGGAAUUACUGGGCGUUAAGCGUGCGCAGGCGGUUUUGUAAGACAGAUGUGAAAUCCCCGGGCUCAACCUGGGAACUGCAUUAGUGACUGCAUAGCUGGAGUGCAGCAGAGGGGGAUGGAAUUCCGCGUGUAGCGGUGAGAUGCGUAGAUAUGCGGAGGAACACCGAUGGCGAAGGCAAUCCCCUGGAACUGCACUGACGCGCAUGCACGAAAGCGUGGGGAGCAAACA
rnacentral:rRNA from 1 species